UACUUGUUCUAGGAUUUGAUAAUGCGUUGGUGUCACUGAGCAUAAAUUCAGCAAUAUAACGAAUCGGUUCACCUAAUAUGGAUGAGCGGUAAGGCAUUUUAUUCACAAUAGUCUCUACUAUUAAAGGGGGAUCGAACGUCGUGAUGGUUCGACCUCCCCUCGUGGUUCGACCUCUCCAGCCUCGUACGUAACUUGUGCCCGUGAAGGAAAAAUCGGACCUCCUCACAACCCCUCCGUGCACGAUAGAAAAAAAGAAAAGAAAAUAAAACAACCCACACGUACGCACGUCCCAACUCCCACCUCCCACCCCCUUCCACCAGACCCCUCGCUAUCGAUCCCGUGUCUUGCAGAGAGGAAUCACCGCCGCCGGCCUCCUCCUAGAUUGAAGCGGUGGAUCCGCAUCUCUUCUCUUCAUCACCGAGUCCAUGAGGUGCUCGAUGUGGCAGGGGCGACGAACAGGAGUGCCGCAUCAAUAGCAGCGACGAACGACGGCCCAGACUUGGUGGCCGAGCAGCAGCGACCUCGACGCGGCGCAUGCGUGGUAGCUGAUGCACGGCACAGCGACCGCGACCAGGACCGGUGGCGGGAGAACGGCGACGGCUGACAAGACCUGGCGUGACGGCCAUGAAGAUAUCGACUCCGACGACUCGCCUCCGUUCAACAGCGCCCUGCUUUUCCGCAUCGCCUCCGUCAAGCAUCACCUUCUUUUCCGCGCGCACAGCACCUCGGUCACUGAAUCAUCGAAUUCACGAACUGCUCAUCGAAUUCACCCCACCGAACUCGAUUCGUAGGCACUACCGAAUCGCAAAUCCCAAACCUGAAUCAGUGGACUACGAAUCCGGUAACUAUGGCAGGGACUGGCAAGUGGCAACAUACGUCUGGUGGCGUAAAGGACGACGGGUGGUGGUAGGGCUAUGGGCGGAGCCGGUAGACGGAGGAGGUUGCAUGUGGAAAUCUGGCAUGUGGCGGCA